rnacentral:tRNA from 1 species
GGAGGGGUGUCCGAGUCCGGUUUAUGGUGACGGUCUUGAAAACCGUUGUGCGUUUGCGCGCACCGUGGGUUCGAAUCCCACCCCCUCCG